rnacentral:lncRNA from 1 species
ACUCCACUCUGAAGGAUUCCCUUGUCUUCAUGGCCCAGUUUCUCUGACACCGUGUUUAUUCUUAUGAUGACCAUGGUGGUAAGCGGGGACUUGACAAGAUCCCUUUUGCCCUUUUAUUGUCAACGGAAUUUAAUAGAACAACUUCUUUGAGGCUCUUCAAACAUGAACUCUCCAUUUCAAACUGCUUCCAAGGCUGAGUCUGGAGCAUUAUCCUUCAUUUGAAUUACACAUAUUGAGUACUUCAAAAGCUACAGAAGUUAUUUGAGACAUGAAAAUCCAUGGCUCAUAUCUCCUGCUCAGGGAACAUAAUCAACCAGGUGUCCCAGCUGCUGUUCUUCUGGGUCCGCCACUGUGUUCAUGUUAAGGCCACAUUUCCCACAGGCUACUCAAGCAGCAACUGAGCAUAACAGGACAACUAAUGCAGGUCCAUUUCUGGAACACAUGGAACUCCACAACCAGGUGACCUUGACCUAAGGACUCCCAAUUAGAGUGUCAAAAAUGCCUUGAAACUGGAUCGUGGUUUAAGAGUCUUCCUAUUCAAUCCUACAUUCCCUCUCCCUUUCACAGGGGUCAGACCUUCAUGACAGGCUGAAGAGUUCCUUCUCCUCUUCUCCCUUUUACUUUACAAACAUUUCUCCAAUAAAUUUCUUACACAUCUAA